rnacentral:lncRNA from 1 species
ACAUACCAGAUUUUGGUAUAAAAAUAAAAAUAAAUAAAAAUAGUGUGAGAAACUAUUUUUAUUGAAUUUAGAGAAGUAAAACAUAAGUCAGAAGUGACUUGUGCUGAAAUCGGAAUGAAAACAGAGGAUUUAAAAUUUUCUGUUGGAAACGAGACAGAUAAAUUAGCAGAAAAUGCAUAGUCUCAGAAAAUUAUGAAAACUGGAGGAUAGGCUAGAAUUAUUUUUAUAAGGCUAGAUUUAAAGUUUCGUGUCAUUCUGACACCCGGAAAGUGAAAAAUAAAAUCCGACAGCUAUCUGAUAAAGAUUAUAGUUUGGUACAGUUUUCGGUGACCAAACGGGGUCGAAACUGAAAACUUAAGAUAUAUUCUUACUCAGUACGUUAAACCGAGCCUGCCUGU